UGAACAGGAUGCUAUGGAGAAAAUGGAGAAAAUUGGCCGGAUUGUGCUGCCAAACCACAAGGAUAAAAGGUUUUAUGACAAGAAAUACCAAGUGUUUCUAAAACUUUCAGAAGAUCAAAGAAAAUAUAAAUCCAUCAUGCAGAAUGCAUAGACAGCAUAAAGAAGAAUCAUCUUUCAUAUUAGAGGUCUGACUGAUUUCUUUGACUUUUUUGAUUAGCUAUUUACAUUAAUGAGAAACAUUGUAGUAAAAAUUAAAAAUACUUUAUAGUCUAUUGAAUAUGAACAGAGAUGUAUUUUAUUAAGAUGAUAUCAUGAAACAAACUUGUCAAAUCUACAUUUCUUGAAUCAGUGUCUUAACCAGAAUUGCAGCUAUCAUUCAGCCUUCACACUUUUCAGAAUUGCAUAAUCUGUUAAAAAGCUUGCAAAAAUAUGUAUUAGGCAAAAAUGUGUAAAAGGGAAUAUAUAGAUGAAAUAUGCAAAAUGCAUACUUUUUAAAAUUUGUAAAUUUAUGUGAAAAUAAACUGAAGCUUGGGAAAGAGAAUAUCAAAUUUAUACAGUAAAUGUACCUUCAUUUGUCAGGCUUUCUAUUUAAUAUCAAAAACUAAAUUGGAGAAAGAUUUCAUUCUUGUUGCUUCUUGUUGUUUUUGGUAAUAAAAUCAAGAGUCAUAAUGUGACAUUAUGAGAAUCAAGAGUUAAGUAAGAAGAAAUACCUCUUAAUGAACUUUGUAGAAUAAAUUGCUGCAAAGAAGAAUUGCUAGGUAAAAUUUUAUACCAUAUUUUUUUCAAUUCAUUAUCAGUGUAAUUUUAAAUGUCUUAAAACUCAUUUGUCAGUCCUUCAAUGUAGACUAAGUCAGGAAACAGAAUGUUGGAGAAUCUUGAUUUUUGUUAAAAAUCUGGUUGUGUUUUCCUAUCCAUCUUUUUUUGUAUCCAUGGAGUUAAGGCAGAAUUCGUUUAAGUUUCUUUCUAAUGUCCUUGAUUUCUGGGUUUAAUAAAUGCAUUGUUUGUUCAAGGUU